rnacentral:rRNA from 1 species
UACGUAGGGUGCAAGCGUUGUCCGGAAUUAUUGGGCGUAAAGAGCUCGUAGGCGGUUUGUCGCGUCGAAUGUGAAAACCCGGGGCUCAACCCCGGGCCUGCAUUCGAUACGGGCAGACUAGAGUUCGGUAGGGGAGUCUGGAAGUCCUGGUGUAGCGGUGAAAUGCGCAGAUAUCAGGAAGAACACCCGUGGCGAAGGCGGCUCUCUGGGACGGUACUGACGCUGAGACGCGAAAGCGUGGGGAGCGAACAGG